AGGGGGAUAGAGAGGUAGAGGGAGAGAGGGAUAGAGGGAGAGAGAGAUAGAGAGGUAGAGGGAUAGAGAGUGAGAGGGAGAGAGGGAUAGAGAGGUAGAGGGAGAGAGGGAGAGAGGGAGAGAGGGAUAGAGAGGAGAGGGAGAGGGAGAGAGGGAGAGAGGGAUAGAGAGGUAGAGGGAGAGAGGGAGAGAGGGAUAGAGAGGUAGAGGGAGAGAGAGUGAAAGGGAGAGAGAGAGAGGGAUAGAGAGGUAGAGAGAGAGAGGUAGAGGGAUAGAGAGUGAAAGGGAGAGAGGGAUAGAGAGGUAGAGGGAGAGAGGGAGCGAUGGAGAGGGGGAUAGAGAGGUAGAGGGAGAGAGGGAUAGAGAGGUAGAGAGGGAUAGAGAUAGAGAUAGAGGGAGAGAGAGAGAGGGAUAGAGAGGGAGAGAGGGAUAGAGAGGUAGAGGGAGAGAGGGAGAGAGGGAUAGAGAGGUAGAGGGAGAGAGGGAGAGAGGGAUAGAGAGGUAGAGGGAGAGAGGGAGAGAGGGAUAGAGAGAUAGAGGGAGAGAGGGAGAGAGGGAUAGAGAGGUAGAGGGAGAGAGGGAGAGAGGGAUAGAGGGAUAGAGGGAGAGGGAGAGAGGGGGAGAGAGGUAGAGGGAUAGAGAG
ensembl:lncRNA